ACAUUUGGUAGAAACUGUUGAGGCCACCUGGUCCCAACAGACCCCAGAGAACAGCCACAUUCGCUGGUGCUGGAACAAGUACAUUAAGGGUGAAGCCUGGUGCCAGAUGUG
ensembl:rRNA 5S_rRNA 5S ribosomal RNA